UAAAAAAAUAAAAUUAAGGCCCUCUUCCAACGUCCAUUUACAUUAAUAGAAGUCUUUUCACUGACUUCAGUCGGUAUUGGAUCAGGGCCUAAAUUACCGUCUUGUAAAUGUGGAAAGUUUGCAGUACGUUUAAACAGUGCUGUAUUCAAAGCCAUGUGCAUAUGUAAGUCUUACACCCUACUUUCUAUAUUGUAGACAUUUUGAGAAAAACUUGUUAUGGUGAUAUUGAGCUGAAAAUAAUCUUGAAACUCUUCAGAAAUACUCAUGUAAGAAGUAAGGAGUCCAUUAAUAACUGUACAUGUGGACUAGAUGUCACUUCAGAUGAUGACAACUUGAUGUUGGUAAUCUCAGAUGUUGCGAGUCUCAGUCAUCUUAAAGAAACUUUGAAGAUUUAUCAGAUGCCAGUGAAAAGCAAAGGCACGAAUGCCAGUUUAUCUUUAAAUGCUGUUUGGAAUGAGAAGGAAUAUUCUCUGACAAGUUACUUACAGUGCAGGAACUGCCUCGUCCAGUCAGUGUCUCCAUGCCCUUUGAUAGGAGCUGAGGUUACUCAUUUCAGCAAUAAAGCACAGUCAUGGGUCUGGCUGCUCCCAUCGUCUGUUCAUUAUUGCUUACUGCUGCAGAACCCUCAAAAACGGAAAACAGGCAACUCAGAUUAUACUUUAUCUUAAAAGAUUUUGCUGAUCUCUACCACGAAUUCAUCAGGACUAAUGAGACAGAUAAGUAAAGGAUUUUGUUAUUACAUGCCAACUCCAUAAAGAUACUCUGGGGUAAGCGGAGAGGUGGUACAAUCUUUGUGUGUGAGUGAUGGGAAAGAGCUACCUGGUUACAAAUUCUGGUCCCACUGAAGUCGGCAGGGGUUCUGCCAUUUGCCUUCAACAAAGCAAAGGGUUUCACCAUGUGUUUAACAGGAAUAUUUUGCUGGAGUUGUUGUCAGCAUACUAGUAAACAUACAUUUUAAAAUUGACCAUCUUUUUCGCAUUUGAAUGUUUGUUCACCUUGCAUAUCCUUGAUGAAUAUUUGAUACAAAAAAUUCUCUUCGAUUUCAUUUUAUUUCAGGUAGGUUUUGAGUUUGUUCAUUUUUUUACUUCUUGUGCAUUUAGAGACCCCACGUGGCAGUGUCUGGGCUAAAAACACAGUAGGGGAAUGUUCACAUAUUUUGUAUUGCUGAGAUUUAAACUGAAUUAAAGAAAAACAGAAAUGAAAACAUUUGCAUUUGUUUAUGUAAUUUUAAAAAAUCACAUAAAGCUGGGCCCGAGCUAGCCGAGAAUAUCCCUGUAAUGAACACAGGCC
ensembl:lncRNA